AGAUUGAACGCUGGCGGCAUGCCUUACACAUGCAAGUCGAACGGUAACGCGGGGCAACCUGGCGACGAGUGGCGAACGGGUGAGUAAUGCAUCGGAACGUGCCCAGUAGUGGGGGAUAGCCCGGCGAAAGCCGGAUUAAUACCGCAUACGACCUAAGGGUGAAAGCGGGGGACCGUAAGGCCUCGCGCUAUUGGAGCGGCCGAUGUCAGAUUAGGUAGUUGGUGGGUAAAAGCCUACCAAGGCCUACGAUCUGUAGCUGGUCUGAGAGGACGACCAGGCCACACUGGGACUGAGACACGGCCCAGACUCCUACGGGAGGCAGCAGUGGGAAUUUGGACAA
rnacentral:rRNA from 1 species